rnacentral:tRNA from 1 species
GGGGAGAUGCCGGAGUGGUCAAACGGAGCGGUCUGUAAAACCGAUGGCGUUGCCUGCGGAGGUUCGAAUCCUUCUCUCCCCACCA